rnacentral:rRNA from 1 species
UACGUAGGGGGCUAGCGUUGUCCGGAUUUAUUGGGCGUAAAGAGCGUGUAGGCGGCCAAGUAGGUCCGUUGUGAAAACUGGAGGCUCAACCUUCAGAGGUCGACCGAAACCAUCUGGCUAGAGUCCGGGAGAGGAGAGUGGAAUUCCUGGUGUAGCGGUGAAAUGCGCAGAUAUCAGGAAGAACACCCGUGGCGAAAGCGGCUCUCUGGAACGGUACUGACGCUGAGACGCGAAAGCGUGGGGAGCGAACAGG